rnacentral:rRNA from 1 species
AACGUAGGAGACAAACGUUUAUCCGGAGUUACUGGGCGUAAAGGGCGUGUAGGUGGUUUCGUAAGUCUGGCGUGAAAUUUUUCGGCUUAACCGGGAAAGGUCGUCGGAUACUGCGGAACUAGAGGACGGUAGAGGCGUGUGGAAUUCCGGGUGUAGUGGUGAAAUGCGUAGAGAUCCGGAGGAACACCAGUGGCGAAGGCGACACGCUGGGCCGUACCUGACACUGAUGCGCGAAAGCUAGGGGAGCAAACAGG